ensembl:lncRNA
AAUACACAAAAUAAUUUAAAUAAAAAUAAUUCUUUUUUUUUUAAUAAUUCAAAUGAUGUUAACAAAAGUAACAAUAGUAUUUUUGGUAAUGUAGCUUCAAGUACUUCAGCACAGUCUACAACACCCAAUGCUUUCAACCCUAAUUUAUUCAGCGCAGCAAAAAAGGAUAUUUAUCCAGGCUUCACGAGAUCAUUAGCUAGUAAUAAUUCUACAAACAGUGGUAGUGGUAUAUUCAAACAAAGCACAUUAGGAAGUUCCAUAGCGUUAGGAAGUCAACUAAAUGAAGAGAGACGAAGUGCAGAUGGUGGUGGUUUAUUUUCAAAAGAACAAUUAGAAGCAGCCAAACAAAUUUUUGCUAAUUCAUCAGCUACAUCUACAUCACUAUCAGGUUUUGGAAAUAAUACAAGUACAAUUAAUAAUAAUAACAACAGUUUAAAUAAUAACAAUAAUAAUAGUAAUAAUAUUAACAAAUUAACAACGUUUAGUGGUGGUUUUUCAAAUGCAGGUGCUUUUGCAAAAAGUAAUAUAAACCCAUUUCAAAGUAUGGCAUUAAAAACAAAUGCACAACAAGAGAAAUUAGCAGCAGCAGGAGUAACAUCAUCAUCUCUUUUAAAUACCUCUAUGUCAAAACCCUUUCUUACAAGUAGUAAUAAUGAAAAUAAAUUAAAUGCUUUUGGUAUGCCCAGUUUGAACACUUUGGGUUCUUCUUCAGGUAAUAAAUUUAAUACUACAUUUGAUGGGUUCGGUAAUAAUUUAAAGCCGUUAGGUUCCACUUCCACUACCACUAAUAAUAGUAGUACUACAAGUAAUAAUAGUCUUUUUUCAUUACAAAAUAAUAUGAAUACAACAAAUGCUUUUUCUAAUAAUGACAGUAGUAAUAAAACCGGAUUUACAAAUUUUACUGGUUCUUUUAGUGCAUUCGCAAAUAAUAAAACAAGUACGAGUGAUUUAUUCAAAUCGAGUAGUAACAUUAACUCUUCUUCUUUUUUAUCAUCUUCUGUUAAACCUACAAAUAAUGAGAGUAUAUUUUCUCUUGGUAGUAGCUCUUUUGGAGUAAACAAAAAUACUAAGAAUAAUGAAGGCAGUUCCUUGUUUGGUAGCAACAAUGCUAGCAUAGCUACAUCCAUAACUACACCCGAAAAUAACAACAAUAAUAGCAGCACGAGUAGUGGUAGUGUACUUCCGAAUUUAACACUAUCCACUAGUAACAAACUAAUAAAUGAAAAUGUUCUAACAGAUAGUACAAAUAAAACCAACGAAGAUAAAGACAAAACUUUGGAAAGUACAACAUCCACCAAAACAGAUAUAAGUCCAAUCACGAAUGAAAAUAAAAAUGAAAAGGAUAAAUUGCCAGUCGAAGAAAUGAAAAUUACACAACAUGAACAACAGAUAGAUAAAACCAAUAUUCAAGAUACUAAACCAAUAGGAGAUGAAAAAACACAAGUACAAGCUAUGAUGAAUGAAACUGUAACAGAAGAAAAUACAAAACAACAAGAUGAAAAACAAAAACUUCAAGUAGAGGCAGUCAAAACCGUUACAGAACAGUCUACAUAUAAUAAUCCUGAAUCUGUUGAAAAGAAAAAACCAAUAGAACAAAAAGAGCAGGCUAAACAAGAUGAACAAUCCAAAUCGGCAGAAUUAAAUAAAAACCCAAACGAUAGUGUUAAAGAAACGGCCGUCCCUCUCCCACCGCUACCUUCGUUUUUUAAAACAGUAGAUGAAAAAAAAGGAGAUGAAAAAAAAGAUGAAAAAAAAAAAGAUGAAAAAAAAAAAACAGAACAAAGCGAAAACACAGUUUCUAAUGAAGCUUUAACUAAUAAUAAAACGGCAUCAUCAUCGUCAGAGACAAGCAUUUUCGAUCCGAAACUAUCAUUAAAUGAAAAUAAUAAAACAAAUCAAAUAACCACACCAAAAGAAACAACUAGUUUAACUCAAAAAGAAAAGGAUAAAGAAUCAAGCAACGACACACAAAAAAAAUCAUCUUUAUUUAAUUUAAAAUUAGUUUCUAAUAUAUUCAGUAAGCAAGUAAAAGACUAUAACGAUAAAGAAAACAAAAAUGAUCCAAACAAAACUAAUGAGCGUAGUACUGAUAGUACUCAAGAAAAAUUAUUAAAAGAAAAAGAAAAAGAUUUAGGUGGUGAUGAAACAACUACAGAUAUAUUUACCAAAAAUAAUGAAAAUAAAAUAAAUAAUUUUCUAUUUAAAAAUACACAAAAUAAUCAAACUGAAUCUACCAUAAAAACAAUUGACGAAAUGGAAAAAUUGAAAAUUCAGGAAAACCAAAAGAAAGAUAUUAUCAAUGAAAAUAUUACCACUACUGCUACUACUCCAAUAAAUUUUAAUUUAGAUCCUAGAAACCUUUUUGGUAAUAUUAAUCAAAAUAAUGACAAAACAAAUAAUGAUAAUAACGCAAAACCAACUAAAUCUGUUUUUUUCUCUGACACUACUAUGUUUAAUCAAAAGUCAUCAACAGCAACGACAAAUAUACUUAAUCAAAACAAUUUAUCAAUAUCAAUAGAUGGUAAAAAAGAAACUAAUUUGUUUUCUCCAACAUUUAAAAAUUUUUCUUUGUUUGACUCUUCUGCUAAUAAUAACAAUAAUAAUGAAAGCUUGAGUAAUGAAGAGCUAAAAGAAAAAACAAUUACUGCUAAGCAGUUAAUAAACAACGUAUCUCAAAAUUAUAAUGACAUCAAAACUGAUAAUCAAGACGUAAAGGAAGUACAAAACAUGAUAAACUUUAUUACGUUAGAGGAUAGGAAAAAAAAUAUAUAUUUAGAUAAUACACUUGAAAUUGAUGAAAAAAAUAAAAAAAAAGGAAUUAAUUUAGUAUUAGGUGGUAAUGCAAAUAUUAAAAACAACCAAAACAUUGCUGACUCUUCACGACAUACAUUAAAUGUUCAGUUAAAAGAAUCAAAAGGUACUCUUCGAACGAAUGAUAUUACAAAAGAUAUGGACUUUAAAAAAUUCGAUUUCUGGUCUGAAAAAAAAGAUAUACAAAAUAAUAUACAACAACAACAACAACAACAAAUACAGUUAGAACAAGACAAAAAAGAAGUAGAAAAAAGUAUAAAAGAAAAUGAAUCGUUUUUUAAAAAAAACUUAGAUCAAGAAAUGGUUGUUGAUGUAAUUAAUAAUUUAUCUUCAUUUGUUAAAAAUAAAAUUAAUUUUAUGAAUUAUUGUUCUAAUGAAAUUUUAGAUACAUAUAACAAAUUAGCUCAUUAUGAAAAAAUGUAUACAUUGAUAUCAGAAGAUCAAAUAAAUAUUGAAAAAAAACAAGAAACAUUAGAAAAAAGAUUAAGAUAUAUAC